GCUGAUAUAAAUAUAAAAAUAGGUAAACAUCGCAUGGUGUUUGUUUCAACAUUUAAUUAACAAUUUUUUUUUAGCAAAUUAACAAUAUCCCGAGCUAGACUAUGAUUUCUUGUUUUGCACAACUUUCCUAGAAAAAUAAUAAUGGUCGUGUGCAUCUUCUAAACUUGCAUCUUGACUUGUAGCUUCAUUCUUCACAAAACAACUCUAAAAUUAACCAAGGGUUAUCCAGAAUAUCAACAAGCUGCAAGAACAUAAGAAAAAUUUAUUACGAAAACUUUGAUGAGAUGCAUUCACCAAGAAUCCAAAUCUAUACCGAAAGCACAAAUUCAGUGACAUAAGCUAGCACAAAUGGAGAAAUUCUCCACCAAGAAGAUUAUAUUAUGUUUUAGGGGAAACAAGUUGUUGCAGAGUAACUAAACAAGCAUGAUAUAUCACUGUUUCAUAUAUAAACUAGCAGGUUAUUAUUGUAGCAGGGGAAACAAACAAGCUAUCACUGUUUUCUUCUCAUCAUUAAUCCUUGUAGGAGCCAAACAGUCUCAAACUGUGUGCCUUCAAUUGUAUGUGUAGAAGAUUAGAAAAAUAGAGAUAAAGAAGGCAAUGAUCUGUUAAGCAAUUCUAAUGAUACAGAUUUAGCGAGUUACUUGAUCCUCUAAACCAGAUCAAGGUGCAACUCAAAUCUCUGUUUUGCUGGACUUUAGGCCAAGAGAUUCUUUAUAUGGAUGGGAAACUUGAUGUACAGUAGCAACAGAUAUCAAAAAAUUCUAUUAAUAACCCUGAGAGUGAUGUCAAAGUUCUUCCUGCAUUGAUAAAAGUCUAUUCAAAAGGGAUAAGUCUUAUAGGGGCUGAGAAAUUCUGUAUACGGAUAGGAUGUUGUUACUGUGAGGCUACAAUGUUGUUACUGCUUCUUUCUUGACAUUUUUAUCUUGUAAUCUUAUUCUUAGUGGACAAAGCAGAAUUUAUAUAUGGUUGAGUGUAUAUAGGGGCCGAGAGAUUCUGUAUAUGGUUGAGUGUAAUGACUCUGUUACUUAUAUAUGCUAGCACACAAGAAGCAACAAUUUCGAAGACAUCUAAAAGGCUAAAACUGAAUGCGUAUCAGUUUUUCAAAUUUUGUCUAGAGAAGAUACGACGCAAACAUUAAAAUAACUCGGAACAACUGAAGCAUUUCAGAGGUGGUAGCUAUUACUACUGUUGUAGCUGCUAAAAGGCUAAAACUGAAUGCAAAUCAGUUUUUCAAUUUCUAUCUAGAGAAGAAACGACACAAACAUUAAAAUAACUCGGAACAUAUGUAUAAAAUAACUUUGUUUUAUCAACAAAAUCGGCAGUAUCCCAGCAUAUGUAUAAGGAUUUAUAUAUGUAUAACUCUUUUGUUCUCCAUAGAGUGUAUUGGUCACAUAUUUUUGUCCUGCCAACAAAAGUGAUAAAACUCAUUGAACAAACAUGUAAAACCUUUAUGUGGACAGGUGGAGUGGAAGUCACAAAGAAAGCAAUGAUAGCAUGGGAUAAAGUGUGUAUGCAUAAAACAUCAGGUGGACUUAAUAUUCUAGGCAUUACUGUUGGAAUAGAACAGCAAUUCUUAAACUACUAUGGAGUUUAUGUUGCAAAAAGUACAAUUAAUGGGUGAAGAAAUUCCUUUAAGCAUGAUCAAUCAUCUAAGAGUUCAGCCAUACACUAAAUGCUUAAAUGACUAUCUGCAAAUAGAAUUUGGUAAAUUGGUACUUACUUGGUCAGCAAAACCAGUGUGGGCAGCUCCUCCAUCAAUCAUCUCACGAGUUCCUAAUUUUGUUUUACAACAUUUGUAACAUGGACAUUGUAUUUUAUCUUCUUCCCUUGAUCCCUGAAAAUCAUAAUCCAAAAACUUUUUCAC
rnacentral:lncRNA from 1 species